GAAAUGAGGGGAGGGCCUUUUUAAAAAGACCCCAGGAAUGCUCUCCCCACCUUCCCCCCAAAAAAUAAAGGAAAAGCUCAACUUCUCAGGGUCUUUUCUCCUCUUUUCUCAAGUAGCGGGGCCAAAGAUUUCUUCCAAAUGAACCAUAAUUCAUUUACAAGCAUAGCAAGCAUUUUGAGUUUUACCAACAAUUUUCUUUUUCUUGGUACCCUCUGCUUCCCCGUAGCUUAACCCCGACGGAAAAGGAGGAUGUCGUUCGAUUCUCUCAUCAAGACAAGAAUCAGGCUGAGGAACAAAGAGGAUAGAUAAACGCAUCCAGGACUGGGCUGGAGAACUAGGCAACAGUUGUGAACAUAGCUGUCACUUCUAGAACUAACCAGUGAGUAUGGGAUGGGCCAAUUUGAGGUAGAAAAACAGACGAUUUUAGCUUUGUUCUUGGUCUGAGUUUCAGGAAUGUCCCCUGGCUUCUGGGUGACCUUGGACCAAACAUUUCCUGUCCUUCUAAUUCUGGGGACCACAGUUACCUUGAGACAAAAUGAGAACAACCUGGAAAGUCCCCUCAUACAUUUUUUUAAAGGACUAUGUAAAUUGAGCCAGGAGUGGUGGUGCACACAUAUUUGAUCCCAGGGAGGUAGAGGUAGGAGCAUCAGAGUUCAAGGUUGUCCUUGGUUACAUAGGGAGUUUGAAGUCGGCCUGAGCUACAAGGGCGUGGGGGUGGGGUGAGGGAAACCGACACUAUAAAAAUCUUAAGAGCUAGCCAAGGUUUGUCUCUCUCUUGGGCUAGACAGCCCAAAAACCACUUUAUCUCAAGAAAUUCUUACAAAAUAUCCGUGAAAUGGGCGGGCUGAGACUCUGAGAUGUGAAGCUAUUCACCCAAGAUCACCCAAGGGAUACAAGGCAGAGCUGAGUUGAAGCAACUUUUUUUUGUGGAGAAAGACCAGCAAUGGCCCAGGACCACCUGCCCAGCAGUGGCACCGCCCACAGCAGUCUGAGCCCUCCUGUACCAAUCACUGAUCAAGAAAAUGUCCAACAGAUUUACCUGCCAGCCAGUCAAAUAAGCCUGACUUCAAGCCAUGGAUCCCCUGCCUCCAACUCUCAUAAGCAUGCCACCACACCUGCUUCAACUCCCUGAAGAAGCACUUUCUCCAAAGCCAAGGACACCAGCCAAGGACAGUACCACUUUGAGCAAGCUAUGAUCACUGGUACCCAGCAGACAGACUCUCAGCGCCAGGUGUCAGAGGGUAACUAAGCCGCUACUUCCUUCCUAUGGUGUUCCCACUGAAAAUGUGUGACCUGAAUCCGCUGGGAUGAGCAUUGUGUGGUUGCCCUCUACAAUGAAAACGUCAACAUGAAAGAGUAAAAGAAAAGUGACAGAACUUCAUAAAAGAUGAAGGAGAGAGCCACUGGAGUACUCGGAGCUCCACAGAGAAGCGGCUGGGGUGUGCGAGGCCACCAGGCCACUCUGGAAGUUAAUGAAACACAGGCAAACAGACCCUGAGAAUCAGAGGCUUUGUCGUGGUCCCGUGGCCAGCGUGGAGGGUGUAAAUACAAGAGUACUUCUCACUCGGAGACAUACUAAAAUACACAAGGACAAAAUAAGUUGCUGAUGUCUAUGGCUGGCUUUAAAAUAAGGCAGAAGUAUGGAAAGGGGACAUGGUAGUGUUUGACUAAAAAAAGAUCCGCCAUAUGCUGGCAAUUGUGAGAACCAAAUGAAGGGCGCAUAGGAGUUCCUUAUACUAUUUUUUCCUUAUUUUAAAAGUCAAUGUUGGAGUGGGGCAGGAAAGGAGUGGCAGAGCACUAUCAUAUACACCAAAGACUAUUAACAAAAUAAAAUCAUGAGACUAGAUCAAGCCCUGGUUCUGAGGGAAAACCUAAAAAGUGCUAGUGAACCCAGAGUCUCAAGGAGGUAUUCGAACAAUCCCCGAGCUACUUUACCAAUCCUAGAAAAGAUAUUCUUGAAACAAACGGGACAGUAAAUGGAUUAAGAAAGCUGAGCCAGCAAGAAGGCUCAGUGGGUUAAAGUGCUUGUGGUGAGACCUGAUGACCUAAGUUCUGAUCCCUGGGUCCCACAGGAUGGAAGGAGAAAACUGCCUCCCAAAAGUUACCCUCUGACCUUCACACACGUGGUAGGUCACACACGUACUUGCACGUGCACACAUACUAUAUAAAUAUCUGUAAUUUUUGAAAAACAGAAGAAAACAGAUAAAUUAUAUUAAACAAAGUGUCAAAUUUUAGGUGUAAUAUGUCACUGUAUU